UGACAAAGUGCUUAUGACUACUAGAUCUUGCUCGGUUAUGUGAGAUUACAAUUCACCGGUUUCCAUCCUGUAUGAAACAGAAGUUAAACAGUUGUAAAAGCAAAAUUCCAGGUCUGGUGGUUUUCCUGCCAGGUCAUGAUGAAACCAUCCUACUUCUGUUGAACCUCGUCCCAGGCAGGAUCGGGGCCUGCGGCCUACAGCCUGUCUUCCCAGCGCUCCAGGGCUCGUGACCCUCCUCCUCCCCUCACUUCAUUCUGCGCUCCAAGGGCACUGGGGAGAGUCACAGUGGUCUCCUCUCCCCCGCAUUGGCCUAAAGCAGGAAGAGAGCAGCCCAGUCACUGAGCAGAUCCCUGCUAGGGCAGGGCUAGAACCCAGACUGCAGCUCACUCGAGAUUCCUGAGAGAAGACUUUGUGUUUGGAGUGUGAACGUCAGGGUGCCUCGGGAAGCCAGGGAAAGCUGAUGACUGGGUGCUGGACAGGGAGCAGGGCCACUUCUGUACCUCUGCACACUUCUAGAAUGCGGACUCAUCCUGCAUCCAUCCAGUAUGUAUUUAUCCAAGCGUCAGUGCCUCUAGUCAUGAGACACACAGGGGUCCGUAAAGCCCACCUGGCGGUAGCUGCUUUCCCCACAAACCCAAACUACAUCCCCAAGGUCAGGGCCAGGCUCUGUUGAGUAAUGCUCCCCAUCACAGCACGCAGCACAAGGCUGGCUGUUUGACAAAUACACACAUAACCAAAAGACAUGUGAAUGUGGUUUCCCAACUCACUUUAAACAAAUAUUCCGGGACCAACUUCAAGGACGUUCUACAACAGAAACUGGACUGUACUCUUCACAAACAUCAAUGUCAUGAAAGACAGAAAGGCUGAGGACCUGCUCCAAACGAAAGGAGGCUGCAGAGAGGACAACUAAAGGCAGCGCUUGAUCCUGGAUUGGAUCCUGGACCAGAAAAACAACGGCUUUCAAAAUCAUUAUUGGGACAGUUGGCAAAUUUGAAACAGGAACUACAAAUUAGCAACUCCUGGGCUGAUCAGAGAAUAUUACACAUUUCCUGAAUUUGAGAACUGUACCAUGGGCAUGUGAGAGGCUGUCCCUGUUCUUGGGAAAUGUUCACUAAAACAUCUUACGGAUAAACGAGCAUGAUGUAUACAAAUAAUCCUCAAAUGGUUCAUGGUUCAGAGAGGAUAGGAAGAAACAGGGGUGAGGGAGAAGAGGAGGGAACGAAUGAAAGAGAAAAUGUGGCAAAAUGUUCUUUGUUGUACCCUUCAAACUGCUGUGAUUUUGAAAUUAUUUCAAAAUAAAGUUUUAAAUAUUUUAAAAAAUUUUUUUCUUUCUCCCCUUGAUACCAGGAAGAAUAAAGUUUUUAAAAAAUGGGCAGGUGGGCCAGGCGCGGUGGCUCACGCCUGUAAUCCCAGCACUUUGGGAGGCCGAGGCGGGCGGAUCACAAAGUCAGGAGAUCGAGACCAUCCUGGCUAACACGGUGAAACCCGGUCUCUACUAAAAAUACAAAAAAAAUUAGCCAGGCGUGGUGGCGGGUGCCUGUAGUCCCAGCUACUCAGGAGGGUGAGGCAGGAGAAUGGCGUGAACCCAGGAGGCGGAGCUCGCAGUGGGCGGAGAUCAUGCCACUGCACUCCACUUGGGUGACAGAGCGAGACUCCGUCUCAGAAAAAGUGGCCAGGUGCACUUGUAGUCACAGUUACUUAAGAGGUUCAAGCUACUUGGGAAAGCUUGAGCCCAGGAGUUUGAGUCCAAUCUAGACAACAUAGUAUGAACCUGUCUCUUUAAAAAAAAGUUGCAAAAUGUUCAUGGAUGGAGGAGACGUGCUCGGCGUGAGGUGAAAGGGCUGCCUGUGGGUCGGGCGUGGUGUGUAAACUUUAAAAAAGCAGAGAUUUCAUCCCACAAAUGCAGACUGGGAUCUCCACAUGACCAGGUGCUGUGGACUGAACUGUAAAUGUCCUCCAAAUUCAUAUGUUGAAGCCCUAACCCCCAAUGUGGCUCUUCUUGGACAUAUGGCUUUUAGGAAGUAAUUAAGGUUAGAUGAGGUCAUAAUCCAGCAAGAUUGGUGGCCUUACAAGAGCCAUGUGCAGGCACCAAGAAAAGCCUACGUGAAUAAGACAGCAAGAGGGUGCUCACCAUGUUGGCAUCCUCCGGCCUCAGAUCUGUGGGGGACUGCGGGGGUGAUGGGACAGGGAGAGAACAAGGAGUGGAUUUUCUUGUCCUUUCUAAGGAAGGGGCUGGGAGGGCGAGGGCUGCACUGGGUGCUGGGACCAAGGGUCCAGGGGCUUGGAUCUCUUGUUUACAAACCCCUACUUCUUUCCUGCUAUCUAGCCCACACCCCUGAUGCUCCCCGGAAAGGAGAGCAAGGAUCCUUGAACACGCGUUAGCACUAGAAGGAAACUGGAGCUCACCCCAGUUGAGCCCUCCAUUUGACAGACAGGGAAGCUGAGGCCCAGGGAGGUGAGGGGACUUGCUCAGUCUUUCCAAUUGAGUAUGUGGGGCAGAAGGAGUCCCCAGAGCCCCGGCCCCAGCCACCAUCCUAUUUGACUUUCCCCAACAGGCAUUCUACCUCAGCUAAAGAUGCUGCCUGCCUCUCACAGGCCCUGAGGAGAAGAUGGCCACAUCACAGGAUCGAACACUACCACAAAACUCCUAGGAAGGGACAGGAAGGUGAGAAUCCUUUCUUUUUUUUUUGAGACGGAGUCUCGCUCUGUCGCCCAGGCUGGAGCGCAGUGGCGCGAUCUCACCUCACUGCAACCUCUGCCUCCCGGGUUCAAGUAAUUCUCCUGUCUCAGCCUCCCAAGUAGCUGGGACUACAGGUACCCACCACCACGCCCAGCUAAUUUUUGUAUUUCUAGUAGAGACGGGGUUCCAACAUGUUGGCCAGGCUGCUCUUGAACUCCUGACCUCAGGUGAUCCACCCGCCUCGGCCUCCCAAAGUGCUGGGAUUACAGGCGUGAGCCACCAAGCCCGGCCUGAGAAUUCUCUUCUGUCAAUGGUGUGGGCCUCUCGACCUCACUAACCUAUAUUGGCCCAGAGGUGAUGGUGACAAUUUGAGAUAACACAAAGUCUC
rnacentral:lncRNA from 1 species